UACGUAGGGUGCGAGCGUUGUCCGGAUUUAUUGGGCGUAAAACGCGCGUAGGCGGACCUGCAAGUCGGGGGUGAAAGCCCGAGGCUCAACCUCGGAACUGCCUUCGAUACUGCGGGUCUCGAGUCCGGGAGAGGUGAGUGGAAUUCCUAGUGUAGAGGUGAAAUUCGUAGAUAUUAGGAAGAACACCAGUGGCGAAGGCGGCUCACUGGCCCGGUACUGACGCUGAGGCGCGAAAGCGUGGGGAGCAAACAGG
rnacentral:rRNA from 1 species